rnacentral:lncRNA from 1 species
AAACAAGUUAUUACAAGGGUAUAUAAAGAGAAUUUAUUUUACUUUAUUUGAUAUACAACAUUUGUGAGGAAGUAACCGGGCGUUCUUUCAUUCGAUUUCAGUAAUACGUUUGUUCCAGAAGAAUUUCCCUGUCGGAGAGAUCUUUCUCUUCGGAGGGAAAAAAGUUCCCUUGUUAAGAAUGUGUUAUUACAUUUCUUAUCCAGCAGGGGGAAACCUUCUAACAUAAAAUGUGCAUCUAUCUUGAAAAUGGUCUCCAAAACACGAAUGAGAGUUCAUUAAUUGAGUAACGCCUGAAGAGACAGCCAAACCUGGACGACGCUGGGCCAAUUGUACGCCGCCCUACGGGACUCCUAAUCACGACCAGAUGUGAUGCAGGCGGGAUUUGAACCAUGUACUGCAGUGUGACUCUCUGUUCUAGGUGUUUAUUCAUAGAUGUAAGAGCAUCUCUCGUCUCUAAUGUAGAAAACUCAUCUUCACAUAUGGACUUGAACUUAUCAGAAAUCAUUGGAACAUGACCAUGUACAUUUUAUGAAACAUGUUCACAUUCAAUCCGUUGAAAAGUAGAUUUAAACAGAUUUUUCAUAGAAAGAUUAACACAAAGUUAGAGAUGAUCUUUGGGGUCUUUACAAGGUACCGUCGAUAUUUAAGGCAGAAAUUGAUUUUCAUCCAUAUAGUUCUUAUUUUCUUCAAGAGCAAAACAUUAUCUUGUGUUUUUUUCCUCACCCUCGUCGACCCAUCUUGCCCCAGAUGUAGCAGAGGACCCUUUAGCUAAAUCAAUGUAUAUUUGAUCUAGUUCCUUUUACUGUUGUUUAAUGGCUAAUAGAUCUUACCUAGAGUUGAAAUAUUUCCCAUGGCUUUGGUUCUAAAUCAUUCUAAUUAAACAAGCCCCUGAUUAAGCCCUUUUGUGCUCUGGUUAAAAGACCGGAUGAUUUAGGAGUGAAUUAUUGAGGUUUCCAGGAUCCUCAAAUGCCACUGGAUUUGUCAGAACAGUCAAUAAUAUAAUUUUUAUGAUCAGUGAAAGCAGUGUGUUUAUGACUUACUUCUUGUACAUAGUAUUAAAAGUGGGGGAGAAAUGAGACACAGAACAACUCUGGAUCUGACCGUCACUGACCUAUUACACCAAGUGUAUUUCCUUUAAGUUUAUAUUAAAGAAAUGGCAUGUACAGUGAGGGGAAAAAAGUAUUUGAUCCCCUGCUGAUUUUGUACGUUUGCCCACUGAGUUCUGGAAUCUGAUUGAUUGAUUGCUUCUGUGGACAGGUGUAUUUAUUUAUUUUUUUACAGGUAACAAGCUGAGAUUAGGAGCACUCCCUUUAAGAGUGUGCUCCUGAUCUCAGCUCGUUACCUGUAUAAAAGACACCUGGGACCCAGAAAUCUUUCUGAUUGAGAGGGGGUCAAAUACUUAUUUCCCUCAUUAAAAUGCAAAUCAAUUUUAUAACAUUUUUGACAUGCGUUUUUCAGGAUUUUUUUGUUGUUGUUAUUCUG